rnacentral:rRNA from 1 species
UACAGGGGGGUGCUAGCGUUGUUCGGAAUUACUGGGCGUAAAGGGCGCGUAGGCGGUUUUCGCAAGUCAAGGGUGAAAUCCCGGAGCUUAACUCCGGAAUUGCUUUUGAUACUGUGAGGCUAGAGUGUAUUAGAGGAUGGCGGAAUUCCUAGUGUAGUGGUGAAAAUACGUAGAUAUUAGGAAGAACACCGGUGGCGAAGGCGGCCAUCUGGGCCAACACUGACGCUCAUGCACGAAAGCGUGGGGAGC